AAAGCAUGGAGAAGUUCUUCAAGUUCUCCAUUAUGCAGUUGGACAGAAAUAUGAACCAUAUCAUGAUUACUUCUGCUUAUCGUUUCUGCUCUUACAGAGGACACAAAAGCUCUCAAUCAGCUUAACACACUUAUCCAGGAUGGGAAGUAGAUAGCAUCAGUUCUUUAUACUUAUCGCAGCUAUGUCAAAGCACUUCCUCAGGGGGUAUGUUGGAAUUCGCAGUUCGGGAUUCAGAGACUUUCUGCCGAAACCGGAGCUGCUUCGAUCUAUUGUGGAUUCUGGUUUUGAACAUCCUUCCGAAGGCAAAGUUUUAAACUCAUGUCUGAUGUUAACAUUCGUGAAUUCCAUGAAUUAAGUCAUUUUGUUUUUCUUGCUUUUAGUGACUUAUAAUGGUGGGCGGUAUACAAGUUUGGUGGUUUAUUAUUUUGAUUCUAUAUUUAUA